UAGUCCACGCCCUAAACGAUGCUAACUCGAUGUUUGGACGUAAGUUUGAGCAUCCAAGCGAAAGCGUUAAGUUAACCACCUGGGGAGUACGUCGGCAACGAUGAAACUCAAAGGAAUUGACGGGGUCCGCACAAGCGGUGGAGCAUGUGGUUUAAUUCGAUGAUACGCGAGGAACCUUACCUAGGCUCUAAUGCGAGCGCUACCUGGUGAAAGCCGGGGUUCCUUCGGGACGCAAAGCAGGGUGCUGCAUGGUUGUCGUCAGCUCGUGCCGUGAGGUGUUGGGUUAAGUCCCGCAACGAGCGCAGCCCCUAUUCUUAGUUGCCAGCACAUAAUGGUGGGGACUCUAAGAAGACUGCCUACGCAAGUAGCGAGGGAAGGCGGGGAUGACGUCAAAUCAUCAUGGGCCUUUAUGCCUAGGGGCGACACACGUGCUACAAUGGGUAGGUACAGGA
rnacentral:rRNA from 1 species